UUCUCUUCCCAAACCACAUCCUCUGUACCCGCGCGUUCAAAUUCUUAAUUAUUAACGCUAAGCUCGAGCAUGGUUGGUAGAUUUAGCUAUCAAGAAAUUCGUCGAGAAGUGAGACGGAGUCUGUGGCUGUGCUGCCGAGGAACGAUGAGCUUCAGUUCAUCGGUAAAUCGCGUAAUGUAGCAGCAACUGUAAAUGCUUAUUGGAAAUCUGCGCCGGAGCUCUGUGAUUUCAUCAGUGUAAGGAUAAUUCAACUUCGAGUUAAUUGAAGUGUCAGUAUGGGUUUUACUGUGGAUAGGUAAAAUUGAGGGAUUGAAAUGGAAGUAGCUUUGAACCAAAAUGCAGUUUGCUCGGUGUAAGAGAAGGUAUAUCUCUUAAUUCUUUUUCAUGUUUCCAUUUGUUUAGGUAAAAGCAUACGUAAUCGUUCAGAAAUUUGUUCUAUAUAACCACGAAUUGGGUCCGUGUAUUAAAAUCUUGCCCGUCCAAUGCACGGGAUUAAAUCUAGUUUUGCAUAAAUUUAAGAAUGUUUUUAAACUUGGAUUGUUUGUUUGCCUAUUCUUGCACUUUAAACCUGUGCAACAAAGUAGGUAAAGGUGAAAAAAGUAUAUUGGGGUUUACUCUGUGUAUAGCUUUUUUUUUUUUUUUUUUGGCCAACAAGUUUUUGCUUGUUUAGCGUAUAUAACUUGAAUGAUAGACACUGGGAAGUUGGAAUCUCCAUGAUGAACAAUGCCCUUGAACCCUACAAAGCUACGCUUUCAAGUAUUGAUUUAAAAAUAAAAAGAGAAAUUUUUAGACAUUAAGUAAUGCUAAAACUUUAUGAAAUAUACAUGAAUUUUUUUUUUAAAUCAUCAUAGUUGUACGAUCAUCACCGAUUAUAUACAUUGAUAUGUGUAACAAAUUGUCCACUCACUUCUAAAUGAGUAGGCAAAUCCCAUACACACCUACAAAAACACAAGGAAAUGACUACAUAUAAAGGCACAUAAUAACACAAUUUUACAGAUUAACUGCAUCUGAAUUUUGACAAAUACUACGCAAGGAGUACUUAUUUUGUCUGACUCAUAAUCAUGGCAAAACAAAAACAAAAAUAUGGACCUGUAAUACUCGAAUCAAUCGUCUUCAAAAACUUCAUAAGAAUCCGAAUUCAAAUCCGAGUCAAAAUUCAUUAAAAAAAAAAAAUUAACCGUGAAUCUUUCUUCGACGACAUCUUGACGGUGGAGAGCAUCCAGGAUGAAAUGGUUGAGGGUGGAGUAGUGGAGACUGGUUUUUCAUACAUCCAAUCAAAGAAUGUCCAGUUUUCUUGCACAGAUCUUCACCUAUAUCCGAUGCCUCAACCUGUUGCUUCAUAUUUGAAUGCAAUAUGGUGGUCAUUAGAACGAAGAAAAUGAACCAGGUAGUAUUCUUCAUGGUAGAGAUAUAUGAAAUCUGCUUGAUUUGUUAGUUUUUGAGCAAUGUUAGGAAUCAACAGUAAAUUGGCCUGCAAUUUAUGUCAACCAUGCCUUGCAGUUCAGCCGCUGAAAUUAUGACUUAUUUUUGGUAAUUUGCUAUCUUAGGUUUUCCAUGGAUUUAUUGCCCACUUUCAAUUGUCACUAAAUCUAUAUUAUUCUAUUAAUUCAUGAUCCUUACUUCAUCUUUUUAUAAUUUAGUUCUUCUUACAAUUUUAUUUUUUAAAUAUAAUUUCUUUUAUUAUUAAUAAAUGUGAUGACUAAUAACUGAAGAAAUUUUAUUCUUGUUUUGAUGUGAAAGUUACUAUCUUGACUGCGUUGGGUAAUUUAUUUAUUUUUCCUAUUUAGUCUGUAAUCCAUGCCCUAUGGGUUAAUAGGGUUUUAUGAUCGUUGCCAAGGGUUGAUAUAACCCUCUUCCCUUUUUGUUCUUGGCUUUGGUGGAUGUACAAUGAAAAAACAGGCGGAAUUCCUAUUAAGUCCAAAAAAAGUCUUCUAUUCUCGGGUGAUGCGCUGGCAUUUUUCACUUUGGUAUCAUGUUAUGGCUAAAAGUUGUUUAAAAUUAACAUAGGGUUAAUUAGUCAACAAUUUCGUAUAUUUAAUUGAAUAUUGCCAAGGGGCAGAUUGUUCAUAUAACUAUAUCUUUGAGAUACUUCAAAUCAUUAGCAGUUUUGGUCCUUUCAAAAUCAGGUUAUAUAUGUCAAGGCUAAAAGGCCAGGUGACAAGAAAUCUUUUACGGCCAAUCAAACAAGUUGCGGUUAACUACAGUUGAUAGAGUCACUAUGAUGAUUCCUCAACCAAUCAUUUGGGAUUUUUUAUGGUUAAUUUGUUUGGCAGUGUCGUGUUUGUUGGAUGCUUAAAUCGUCGUUGUUCGUCUGCCACAACUACAUGCAAAUAUAAUGCAAUGAACCCAACGUGUGGGACAGUGUUUGCAAGUGAGAGUCGGAAUUUCUGAUGGCUAUAACUGCAAGUUUACUGUAUGAUAUCCAGAAUUCCAGACAGACAGAGAAAGACAUGAGACAUAGAGAAAAAGGACAGAUAGAAUCAUUUUCAAUUACAGGUAACUGCAUAUUGUGCCUUGGGCGAAAAAGGGAAGUGUGAACGAGUAUGAAAAGAAAAUGCAAACUUCAUACGUUAUUUCAUUUUUCUGUGCUAUUUUUUAUUUAAAUAUAUAAUUGUACGUGAAAGCAUCUUCAUAAGUUUAGGUGAAGUUAAGUUAUAGUAAUAUUAGGAGGGGGUAAUUUGAGACAUGUGCAUGACCUUUAAUGGCUUCCUUCGUUGAUGAACAAGUGUCAACUGUUUCAAAGCAACAGCACCACCUUCAUCACUCUGUCUCAUGCAGUCACAGGGUUCCCCCACUGGCUCCAUAGAUCGGGCCACUCCUUCUACGCCGUCAUCAUUUGUCAUAACACCACCAUUCGGAUUUAUCUUUCCAUUGUGUACAAAAAAAAUUAAAAAAAAAAAGGUGAAAAGAGAGGGGAAGUUGUUAUACAUUAUCUUCUUUUUUUCCACUGAAAAAUUGUUUUAUUUCUGAAAUUCCAUUACAAUGGUCCCUCUACAAUGAAAAUAAAGGGAUUAAACUAAAGAUUUUAGUACAAUCAAGUCAAGAAUCCCAUAAUAGUAGUCUUACAAUAAAAGUGAAAUUUAUUUCUUUUACCUAUCAUGUUAGUUUUUUCCUUUUUUUUUUUUUUUGAAAUGAGCUCUCUUUUUAAAGUUGUAUUUGUCAUAUUGUUAUUUUCAUGGAGAAGUUCAUGUCAUGGAAAAGACUGGCCAUGGAGCUUUAUAAGUCCCACGCCUAUAAAUUUAAGGGAUUUUUUUGCCUAAUAGGGUUAAUUUCAGGGAUGCAUUAUGAAUCACCCUCAGUUUUUUUAAAUAAAAAUGAAUACUUUUUUGUUAUAGUUCAUCACAGUUGAAUAUGUUA